CAUUAACAUUUUCAUCACCACCACUACCAUCCCUUUUAUUCUCUUCUUGGUCUUUGGUCGAAGUAGUUGAGCUCCUCCUGUUCUUGCUGUCAAACUUGCCAAUUCUAGAGACAGAGGAAAGUUUCUUGUUGGAAGCUGAGACUAUAUGGAGGUGAUCUUGAGGUGAUCUUCUGAGUGGAAACAGGAAUUGAGGACGGCAUGGAGUGUGGGUGUAAGGGUGGUGUCUCGUGGGGUUGGUGUAGAGGAUUCUGCCUCCACCACCAUUGCCAUUGGCUAUGAAGAGA